rnacentral:rRNA from 1 species
CACGUAGGGCGCAAGCGUUGUCCGGAAUUAUUGGGCGUAAAGAGCUCGUAGGCGGUCUGUUACGUCUGCUGUGAAAACCCAGGGCUUAACCCUGGGCUUGCAGUGGAUACGGGCAGACUAGAGGCAGGUAGGGGAGAAUGGAAUUCCCGGUGUAGCGGUGAAAUGCGCAGAUAUCGGGAGGAACACCGGUGGCGAAGGCGGUUCUCUGGGCCUGACCUGACGCUGAGGAGCGAAAGCGUGGGGAGCGAACAGGA